ensembl:rRNA 5S_rRNA 5S ribosomal RNA
UUCGCCAACAGCUAGCUCUCUGCAACUCUCACAUGGUCGCCAACUGAAGCUAAGCAGGGCUGCACCCGGUCAGUACCUGGAUGGGAGACUACAUGGGAAAGCUAGGUUGCUGCCGAAG